AACGUGCCCAGUUGUGGGGGAUAACGUAGAGAAAUUUACGCUAAUACCGCAUGAGAUCUAUGGAUGAAAGCGGGGGACUUCGCAAGGAGCCUCGCGCGACUGGAGCGGCUGAUAUCAGAUUAGGUUGUUGGUGAGGUAAAAGCUCACCAAGCCGACGAUCUGUAGCUGGUUUGAGAGAACGACCAGCCACACUGGGACUGAGACACGGCCCAGACUCCUACGGGAGGCAGCAGUGGGGAAUUUUGGACAAUGGGCGAAAGCCUGAUCCAGCAAUGCCGCGUGUGG
rnacentral:rRNA from 1 species